rnacentral:rRNA from 1 species
AUUGAACGCUGGCGGCAUGCCUUACACAUGCAAGUCGAACGGCAGCACGGGGGCAACCCUGGUGGCGAGUGGCGAACGGGUGAGUAACAUAUCGGAACAUACCCUAGAGUGGGGGAUAACGUAGCGAAAGUUACGCUAAUACCGCAUACGAUCUAAGGAUGAAAGUGGGGGAUCUUCGGACCUCAUGCUCAUGGAGUGGCCGAUAUCUGAUUAGCUAGUUGGUGAGGUAAAGGCUCACCAAGGCGACGAUCAGUAGCUGGUUUGAGAGAACGACCAGCCACACUGGAACUGAGACACGGUCCAGACUCCUACGGGAGGCAGCAGUGGGGAAUUUUGGACAAUGGGGACAACCCUGAUCCAGCAAUGCCGCGUGAGUGAUGAAGGCCUUAGGGUUGUAAAGCUCUUUUACCCGGGAUGAUAAUGACAGUACCGGGAGAAUAAGCCCCCGGCGUAACUCCGUGCCAGCAGCCGCGGUAAU